CCAUCACCAUGUACGUGCCCUCGGGGCUGGGCCCCGUGCGCGCCGAGCUGCCCCCGGAGCGGCUCCAGCUCGACUGGGUGUAUCCUCCUCAUAUCCCAAAAUAUCCCCAAAAUCCCCCCAAAAUAUCCCCCAAAAAUCCCCAAAAUCCACAGGGAAAAACUCCUGGAAUUGACAGGGAAAUCCAUAAAAAAUCUCCAGGGGAAUCCAUAAAAAAUCAUCAGGAGAAUCCAUAAAAAAUCACCAGGGGAAUCCAUAAAAAAUCACCAGGGAAAUCCAUAAAAAAUCAUCAGGGAAAUCCCUAAAAAUCGUCAGGGAAAUCCUUAAAAUUCAUCAGGGAAAUCCUUAAAAAUUUUCAGGGAAAUCCCUAAAAAAUCUCCAGGGAAAUCCCUAAAAUUCAUCAGGGAAAUCCCUAAAAUUCAUCAGGGAAAUCCCUAAAUAUUGUCAGGGGAAUCCUUAAAAAUCACCUAAAAAAAAUCACCUGGGGAAUCCUUAAAAAUCACCCGGGGAAUCCCUAAAAUUCAUCAGGGAAAUCCCUAAAAAAUCUCCAGGGAAAUCCCUAAAAAUCACCUGGGGAAUCCUUAAAACCAGUGCUCCCAGUUUGGUUCCCAGUGCUCUCCCAGUACCCCCAGUUUGCCUCCCAGUACCCCCAGUUGGCUCCCAGUGCUCCCAGUUGUUUCCCAGUGCUCCCAGUUUGGUUCCCAGCUCUCCCAGUACCCCCAGUUGGCUCCCAGUGCUCCCAGUUUGGUUUCCAGUGCUCCCAGUUUGGUUCCCAGCUCUCCCAGUUGUCUCCCAGCUCUCCCAGUUUGCCUCCCAGUGCUCCCAGUUUGGUUUCCAGUGCUCCCAGUUUGGUUCCCAGCUCUCCCAGUUGUCUCCCAGCUCUCCCAGUUUGGUUCCCAGCUCUCCCAGUUGUCUCCCAGUGCUCCCAGUUUGCUCCCAGUUUGGUUCCCAGUGCUCCCAGUUUGUCUCCCAGUGCUCCCAGUUGUCUCCCAGUGCCCCCAGUUGUUUCCCAGUGCUCCCAGUUUGCCUCCCAGUGCUCCCAGUUUGGUUCCCAGUGCUCCCAGUUUGUCUCCCAGUG
rnacentral:lncRNA from 1 species